UGUUCCUAGGUAGGUUUCUGAGUGCUCCUCUCUCUCUCUCUCCCUCUCCCUUCCGCUUUAGCUCUGCGCUUUAGGGUUUGGGUUUGGGAGCCGCUGCAGCGGGCGCCCGCUUACCCCCGCCGCCUCCGCGGCCGGGACCGCCGGCGCGGGCGGCGCCCCCCGCCCCCGCUCGACGACCUCGCCUCCCACUACCGCCGCCAGUUCCGCAGCCUCCGCGCGCCCCUGGGCGGCGACGACGCCCGCCACCUCUAGAGGGCGGAGCGGCGGCCCCUCGGGCCCCGGCCCCAGGGGUCGCGCCUGGAGCGGCCCUAGGAGCAGAGGUUGGAGACGAAGCGCGUGUUGAGCGGGAGCGAGACCUUCGACGAGCUGGUCCGGUACAGCAGGGCGGAGGAGACGGGCGAGGUGCAGGAGCGCGAGGAGUGGCGGUCCCAAGACGGCGUCGCGGCCCGCGUCGGCCUCCGCAUGGCCGACAUGGAGCUCGACGACUUCCCGUUGCAGUGCAGGAAGAGCGACAGCGAGGACCGGCCCGGAUUAGCACUGUUCUAUUGUUUUAGGUAGCUGCGACGAGACGUUGACAGAUUUUCGAUGCCCCAAAGACCCUGCCUGAAACCGGUACAACAGUAGGACAAACACAACUAACAAUAGUGGUUUGACUAGCUAACACACGACCUCCUAACGCCGUAAAGUAGACCUUACUGUGUCCUCGUCCUCUCACAUAUAGGGUGACUUCCCGGGGUCGGGUACCUGUACCUACAGUUCCCCCAGAGGCGACACUUCGUUUUACUCGUCGCACUUGUCAACGCAGCUUUCUUGUGGCAGUACAGAAACCUUCACAACGUAUAGUACCGGCGACUAUCCUUCUAAGUUCGUAAAGACGCGAACUAUACAGAAUUGUACGGACUGUUUAAGUCACAAGACUCGGUCUCCGACUGUGACUAACUUCGAGUGUUCUACCGUGAGCUCUCUAAUAACGGAUGAUCAGUAUUUUAACUACUAGAGCACUACAUAUAGACCUCUCACUCGUUAGAUCUAAUGGUUGGUUUGUUGUUUGCCGAACACCCACAAGAACCAUUGAACUCUAGGUCGUUAAGGUACGACCCGGUUGAAUGUCCUCGACCCUCUCGACGGACAACCUAAUAUAAACUAUAAAUGUACCUCUUACGUUACCUACCCUCCGUAGAUCCGCCAUAUAGACGAUAGCUCUAAUAUUUUCUUUACAGGUUCUGUCGGGUUCGUUAAUUACUCCGUUCAACCGUCCUUUGAAAAUUUCGAGAAACCUAAAGACGGGAAGCAGAACAUGUCGCCCGAUCUCUUGGAGAUCUCCCAGGUUAAGGAGUAGAUCUGUGUUCUAAUACGUACGAUAAUCGAGAAUAAGGUGAUCGUUAACGACGUUAAGAGUUCCUUCUUUGACUACGUACACCUCGACUUCCUUUGUUUUCAGACGGGGCUUCUGAUCCUGAACAUAGAAGAGAAGUCCUAAACCACGUUAUAGGUCCUGAAGAACAUGGUGGAAGUAGUAACCACUUACACCGGUUACGACGCCGAAGUUUUCGACGUUAUAAAUCCCGGUUGACAUUCCAACAACCACCGUUGGGAUCGUACUAACCGGUCUCACUGAGAAGCUGCUUUCGACAACCUUUGUACGAUGUAGAAUAUCAACUUCGGACAUAAAGCUCCUUAAACUAGCUGUGUUGACGAAUGAACACCGGACCAAUACAACAUGAUGGCCCCGUAAGCUUCCUAUGUAGAAAUGGGGUCCUUAGCGGUACCCAUUUGAAAUACGUUCCUCGAGGUGAUAGACUAGGUGACUUUUUACGAGAGUAACGAUGAGGACGAAGUUCACAACGUCUUGACCUAUUUGACAUGGUGUAGCGUAACUUACCAAGUCUUGUUCUUUUCAGUCGACGUCGAUUUUAACACACGCCACGUAGUGAACACGCACCAACCUUAUAAGUCCUUGUACAACAGGCGUACCACCAGUUCAAUAACAGCGGAGGAAACGGGAGUCUAAGAAGUAAUGUCCCCUCGUACUCGGUGAUGGAAUCAGUCUUCAGAUGGAAUUUACGUUAGAAUGAACCACAGAGUAUACAGCUACGACAGGUGUAAAAAAGAAACAUACCUUACCAAGGUCUACAACGACGUCGAAAUUACGGUGAGACACUUCGAAAACCCAGUUACGGUGGGGGUAGAUUGGUGUCCAGAUGGUAACAACUACUUUGCAGCCAAAUGAGCCAGAAGAGAACACGUAAAGAAACAGAAGAGGCCAACACCUUUAAAAUGUUUGGGGGAGUUCUCAUAACAGAACGACCGGCACCUCCGAGCCAUUCAUGCCCGAGCAAGCUGCUCCAGGGUUGGGUUGGUUAAAUAUAACUGAGGAAGGGGUUCGAUUCCCGAACCAUGUAAGUCUUAGUUCGAACGUAUCGGAGAUGAGAAAGACCUGAACCGUUAUGUUUGGGACAGGUAGUUCAACGUUUGUUUUAAAACUCAUACUAAACGGCCUUUUAAUGAUUUUCGCCCCAUCAUAGACCAUUAGAAAGUAGACGAAGGUCAUCGUCACAGUCACCAAGGAGAGAUUCAUGUAGACUGCUAAGAAUGGUUUCCGGCUGUGAAGGUCGUACCCUUAAAGAUCUUCGUCAAGGAAUACAAGAACUUCGACAAGAAUGUCGAACAAGAGUGCCCUCCUAAAGGUCGGCUCUGUACUGAUGGUCAAAUUCCCUAGAUCACCUGAAGAAUGGUCGAAGAGAACGACGUUAACAAUCAAUGAAGAGUCGUCUUUAAUGUGCUCCUUAUACCUUUCGACAGGGAUACUUGCCUUGACUUACCGGGUCGGGACCACGACGAGAAGUGAGGUAACUUCUACUUCAUUUCCUUUAGGAACGUAGACGACCACAAGUCUAAGUGUCGACGAUAGGUGCACCACACGGCGGUUACGAAGGAAAUGGUUACCGACGUGAACAGUCGAACUGUUAAUGCAAAUUCGACCUAUCCUCAGAGCUGAUGUAAGUGCCCUAGUAACCAGUCCGUGACCUCUUGACACGUCCCCCAUCAAGGACCGGUUCGUACGGGUAGUAUCCCCGGAACACCUGUGUCUUUCACGCUUCCACCGUACUAAAAUAACAGGAGAGUACAUAGGCCAGAGGCAAACCAUCUCUGUUUCUACGACACCGUGUCGAGUAGGUUUCAACGAAGAGUAGGAAAGACGCGAGUAGGGGUAGGUCACCCAGACUAUAAUGACGUUCGGCACCUCAACCUCGAAAUUACCCUCUCAGUUAGUGUCCGGUGGUUCCAGAAGUAAAAGGGUACCGGGGACCUAAGUAGAUGGACUCUUGAACAGCUUGUAAGGUGCUAUGAAUGAAACACUCGCUCUACUAGGAGUCCGUUCACUAACUAACAAGGGUGUUUGAACGUUUACCGACCAGAAGGUUACCCGGAGGUGUACAUUUUAGUCCAGCUGGCGGUGACAGACCACGACGUAGGUACCGAAGAGUCCAACGGUACGAACCACGCCCUGACGACACACAACGUCCCCCCGGAGAGGACCAGGUCCACGAUAUACUCCUCUGGAACGGCUGGGAUGACGAUAGUCGAGUCCUUGUCUACAACCUUCUGGGACCUGGUCACCGGUCGUCUGAAGUUCCAAUACGGUACCGGUUGUACGAAAAGAAGACACCCUCAGAUGAGACCCCGAGUCUUUUCUGAAGAGGGUAGUACUUUGACAGUAAGGAGAGCUCUUCUGGCGCUCACCACCCGUGGGUGUACCUAAAGUAACGACCACAAGACCUACCCGUGUAGGACGACCCCACGCUGGGUCCAUGCACCUUCCGCAUACAUAGCACGAAACAUAAGGAACACCACUUCAAACAGGGCUGUACCGAUGCCCUGUAUUUUGACCUGUGCGACUUCUUCUAACGGCGCCCCGAAGCUUCAACCGUGCUCUUGCUAGAACGAGACAGUGAUGAGCUCGCUCCUCCUGGUUUCCGUUAGAGACGACAUCAACUUUGGAACGAUGUUACUAGAACGGAAUACCUUAAAAAACGGGGGUUGGGUUGAACAUCCUCGGUAACGUCAGAGUUCGGACUUAAGGACGACCACUCGGUAGUCCGGUCGUCUAUCAGCACAAGUAAACACCUGAUCACAGUGCAGUAGAGCAUACCGGAGAAACGACCUACAAACUGACUUCAUACAUUCAAUUUUAAGAGUCUCGGCUACUGUUCAUAGGACCCAUUUCACGGGGUCGACAUUAUUGUACACAUUAUAUCACCCCGUGACACGCAAAUGUUAAUCAAUCGGGGGGGAAAAGGUUCUUUUAAACCGGGAGAGCUUCCGAAUCUGAAGGUCAAACGGACGCUUAAAACCAUCCAGCCGAUACCUCCGAGACUUAGAAACCCUAUAGUAACACCAUUGCUUAAACAAUAGAGGAAUACUAUACAAUAAAUGUUGCAAUUGUAUCACAAUAGUACUCUUAUUAUAAGGCUCAGGAGUGAGUCUUUUUCUCAACUACUUAAAACUCGUGACUUAAACCCCUACGUUAGAUAAAAGGUCACAACUUAAAAUAUUUACAUUACUCUGUCAAGAAGUACAUUCGUUACACCGUUUUUACAAGUUUGAAACAUAAUGAUAAAUUUACAAACUUGGA
rnacentral:rRNA from 1 species